rnacentral:rRNA from 1 species
AGAGUUUGAUCCUGGCUCAGGAUGAACGCUGGCGGUCUGCUUAACACAUGCAAGUCGAACGGAAGUAGCAAUACUUUAGUGGCGGACGGGUGAGUAACGCGUGAGAAUCUACCUUCAGGACGGAGACAACAGUUGGAAACGACUGCUAACCCCCGAUGUACCGCAAGGGCAAAUAUUUAUAGCCUGAAGAAGAGCUCGCGUCCGAUUAGCUAGUUGGGGGGGUAAAAGCCCACCAAGGCGACGAUCGGUAGCUGGUCUGAGAGGACGAUCAGCCACACUGGGACUGAGACACGGCCCAGACUCCUACGGGAGGCAGCAGUGGGGAAUUUUCCGCAAUGGGCGCAAGCCUGACGGAGCAAGACCGCGUGGGGGAGGAAGGCUCUUGGGUUGUAAACCCCUUUUCUCUGGGAAGAACAAAAUGACGGUACCAGAGGAAUCAGCAUCGGCUAACUCCGUGCCAGCAGC